AUACGGAGGGUGCAAGCGUUACUCGGAAUCACUGGGCGUAAAGCGCAUGCAGGCGGUCUAAUAAGUUGGAAGUGAAAGCCUAUGGCUCAACCAUAGAACUGCUUCCAAAACUGUUAGACUAGAGUCUGGGAGGGGAAGAUGGAAUUAGUAGUGUAGGGGUAAAAUCCGUAGAGAUUACUAGGAAUACCAAAAGCGAAGGCGAUCUUCUGGAACAGUACUGACGCUGAGAUGCGAAAGCGUGGGGAGCAAACAGGAUUAGAAACCCCAGUAGUCC
rnacentral:rRNA from 1 species